rnacentral:rRNA from 1 species
AGUGAACGCUGGCGGCAUGCUUUACACAUGCAAGUCGAACGGCAGCGCGGGCUUCGGCCUGGCUGCGAGUGGCGAACGGGUGAGUAAUGCAUCGGAACGUUCCCAGUAGUGUGGGAUAGCCCGGCGAAAGCCGGAUUAAUACCGCAUACGACCUGAGGGUGAAAGCGUGGGACCGAAAGGCCUCGCGCUAUUGGAGCGGCCGAUGUCGGAUUAGCUAGUUGGUGGGGUAAAGGCUUACCAAGGCGACGAUCCGUAGCUGGUCUGAGAGGACGACCAGCCACACUGGGACUGAGACACGGCCCAGACUCCUACGGGAGGCAGCAGUGGGGAAUUUUGGACAAUGGGGGCAACCCUGAUCCAGCCAUGCCGCGUGCGGGAAGAAGGCCUUCGGGUUGUAAACCGCUUUUGUUCGGGAAGAAAUCCUCUGGGCUAAUACCCCGGGGGGAUGACGGUACCGGAAGAAUAAGCACCGGCUAACUACGUG